UACAGAGGGGGCAAGCGUUGUUCGGAAUCACUGGGCGUAAAGCGCACGUAGGCGGAUGUGCCAGUCAGGGGUGAAAUCCCGGAGCUCAACUCCGGAACUGCCUCUGAUACAGCACGUCUUGAGUUCGAGAGAGGUGGGUGGAAUUCCUAGUGUAGAGGUGAAAUUCGUAGAUAUUAGGAAGAACACCGGUGGCGAAGGCGGCCCACUGGCUCGAUACUGACGCUGAGGUGCGAAAGCGUGGGGAGCAAACAGG
rnacentral:rRNA from 1 species